UUGUGUAAUAUAAAAUAGGGAGUCGGACCUGCCCGGUGAAAAUUUUUAACGGCCGCGGUACUCUGACCGUGCAAAGGUAGCAUAAUCAUUUGCCUUAUAAUUGAAGGCUAGUAUGAAUGGUUUGACAAGAAUAUAGCUGUCUCUUUACAAUUUGAUAGAAUUUUAUUUUUAGGUGAAAAAGCCUUAAUUGAAUUAAAAGACAAGAAGACCCUAUCGAGCUUAAGAGAAGUUGGUGGAUAAAAGCUUUUAUUUUUAAAAGGUAUGACUAUCAUAUACUUUGGUUGGGGCGACUGAGGAACAGACAAAGCUUCCUUUGUAAAACUGUUUACGUACAAGUAUUAGAUCCAUGGUUGAUGAUUGAAGAAAUUAGUUACCGUAGGGAUAACAGCAUUAUCCUUUUUGAGAGUUCUAAUCGAAAAAGGGGUUUGUGACCUCGAUGUUGGAUCAGAAUGUCCUAAAGGUGCAGAAGUCUUUAAGGGUUGGUCUGUUCGACCAUUAAAAUUCUA
rnacentral:rRNA from 1 species